rnacentral:lncRNA from 1 species
UGCACUUAAUAAAUUAAGUCACUUUCUAGGUCAGUAUGAAAACAUUAUUAAUGUUUAUCUAGUCACAGAAACCACUAAUAUGAAAUUACAUUCCUUCCAGUCUUCACCUUUCAAUGUUCACAAGCUGGGAUUAAUUUCAAAGGGAACAAGUUUCUGGCUGAGGUAUAGGGAGUGUAAAUUAGUUCAACCAUUGUGGAAGACAGUGUGGCAAUUCCUCAAGGAUCUAGAACCAGGAAUACCAUUUGACCUAGCAAUCCCAUUACUGGGUAUAUACCCACAAAGGAUUAUAAAUCAUUCUACUAUAAAGACACACACACACAUAUGCUUACUGCAGCACUAUUUACAAUAGCAAAGACUUGGAACCAACCCAAAUGCCCAUCAAUGAUAGACUGGAUAAAGAAAACGUGGCACAUAUACAUCAUGGAAUACUAUGCAGCCAUAAAAAAGAAUGAGUUCAUGUCCUUUUCAGGGACAUAGAUGAAGCUGGAAACCAUCAUUCUUAGCAAACUAACACAGGAACAGAAAACCAAACACUGCAUGUUCUCACUCAUAAGUGGGAGUUGGACAAUGAGAACACAUGGACACAGAGAGGGGACCAUCACACACUGGGGCCUGUUGGGGGGUGGGGGCAAGGGGAGGGAGGGCAUUAGGACAAAUACCUAAUGCAUAUGGGGCUUAAAACCUAGAUGAUGGGUUAAGUGCAGCAAACAACCAUGGCACAUGUAUACCUAUGUAACAAACCUGCACAUUCUGCACAUGUAUCCCAAAACUUAAAGUAAAAACAAACAAAACAACAACAACAAAAAAAAACCUUUGCUAAGGAACAAAAUAAAUAAAUGGACAGACGUGCCUAUUCCUAGCUAGGAUCUGGUGAGGUAAAUUUCUCUCCAAAUUAUUCAGUAUAGUAUGUAAUUCUGCAAUGACAGAACAGACAAUGGCUAGUUUGUGCUAAACAUGAUGAGAGUAAAGGGAUGAUAAGAAGUAUUAACUUAAAAAUCACUAUGUAUAACAAUGUAUAAAUUUAGAAAAAGAGAGAUUUAUUUCCUUUUUUUCUUUUUUGGUUCCUCAUCAUUCAGUUGGAUGAGCUUAUGAGCUUUAUUUCUUAAGAAGGAGAUUACAACCUCCAGGCAGGAAGCACAACCACCAUCUAAAAAAAGCACUUUGAGGCAGAGGCGGAUGGAACAGGGAUUCCUUUUGAAUGGGUUGGCCAAGUAUACAUAUUCAACAGGUUACAGGAGGAGCUAUUAAUAUUCAUGAAGGUGGUCCUCAUGCAUAUUACACACCACCCAUGUUCACUUAGGGGUGGAAGAUUAACAUUUAAAUGUAUUACAGCUAGGCCAAAAGGUGAAGCAGGGACACGAAGGCAUUCCAGUGUGCAGUCUCUGUAAAACCCACCAGAACCAGUUCAUAAUAAGUGAUCUCUCAUCAGAAGAAAGUUACAGAAAUCAGUCUGUUGUCCAAUCAAGGCUCGUGGAACAGGGUGUCAGUUAGUGAGCAUCUGGUGGUGAGUUGCAAUUGUUUUAAUAUUGUUUAUUUCAAGGCCAGUGCUUGUUUAGCUUCUAGAGAAAAAGAAAAACCUUGUAGCACUUUGCACGUAGUUUAUUCUUUAACUGUAGGGUGUAUGAUUUAAUCUUUCUCUGGCAUGGCCUUAGGUCCUAUUUAUAAUCUGGUAUCUUAUUUCCACAAAAAGUCCAUUCUGUCAGUCAUAUGAUAUCUAUUUUGACAUUACUGCUGGUCAGUUGUGUCUAAACCACAAAAGGAGGCGGGUGUAACAAGGGGUGUCGGGCCUCCCAUCCUGUCAUGGCUGGGAACUAAAUUUGUAAGGUUUCUCCGGAGUCCCCUUGGCCAAGGGGGCAGGGUCCAUCCAGUCAGUUUGAGGGACUUAGGAUUUUAUUUUUAGUUUAUAGAAGCAAGAGGAUUUCUGAAGAAUGUAAUUAUUUAACUGCAAAGCUGGGGAGAAGUAGCAAGAAAGCAUUCUCUGAAAAGACGUGUCAAAAAAAAGGCCACUUUUUUCUAGAACUGUUGCUAAUCAUUGUGAGCUGUGUUGUUUGAGUGAGAGAAGGCAUACCGAUCACAGAAAGACUAUAUUUGUCCCUUCCACUCUCCUCCCUACAGUUGACUGAAUGUUAGUAACAAAGUGACUCUGGAAGAUCUGUUCCCACCAUUCUGCAUUUCUCCUGCAAUCUUGUGGUGGAUCUUGGAGAGUCACUCUUACUUAACACAGAGGCAAUGGGGUUGGUAACAGGUGAAACAAGCAAAUAAAUUUUUUUUUGAAAAAGUAUAACAUGAGAGGACUUACCUACUAGGUAUGAAAACACACUAUAAAGCUUUAUUACUAUUAUUGUUUUUAAUGACAUUUAUUGAAGGCUUACUGUGUGCUGGACACUGUGCUAUGUUUUACAUACCUGAUGUCAUUUAAUUAUCUUCCAAACCUUAUGAAGUAGAUAGCAUUUUUAAGACCUAAUACUUAGAGGAAGAAACUGAGGCCUAGAAAAGAUACAUUUGCAAAAAAUUAAAUAGCCAGUAAACAAUGAAAAUAUAAUAAAAGGUAGAAAUAGUACUAAAAAAAUAUAGAACAUACAGCAUCUGGUGGCCAUAAAAAAUAAGCUCAGGCACUGCUGCUGAGAAUGUAAAAUGAUACAACCACUUUGGAAAACAGUUUCUAAGUUUCUUUGGUUCCUAACACCAUACAAACACUUGUAUAUAAAAGUUCUUCGCAGCUUUACUUGUAAUAGCUAAAAGCUAAAUAAAGAAGUCCUGGGAGUUCACCCGGUGUUUUCUACAGAACCAAGGUAUUCAUAUUGAGAUCCUUCAAUAUAAUCAGCUAUGUGACCUUGGUUAAGUUAAUUAAUGCCUCUGAAACUGAGGUUCCUCAUCUGUGAAAUGGAGAUAUUCAACAAAGCACCCUGUGGGGAUUAGAUGAGAUUGCACAUCUGACUGCCUAGAGUAUAGUAAGGGGUCACUGUUUCCUCUUCACUCCUCAGGAAAAUUUGAUUGAACAAGGAUAGAAACUUUGAUUCUAGGGACAGAAGGUCUUCAGAAGUCUUUGAGGCCAGAGGGCCUGUCAUAGAACUGCAGUGUAGGUUCAUUAAAACGCUGUCAUCCUAAUGUUUAUCCACAGUAUCUAAUAGAUUUAAAAGGAAGACAAUAUGGCA